CAAUAGCGUAUAUUAAAGUUGUUGCAGUUAAAAAGCUCGUAGUUGGACCUUGGACCUGGACAGGCGGUCCGCCUCACGGCGUGUACUGUCUUGCUGGGUCUUUCCUCUUGGUGAUCUGUUGUUUCGGCAGCAGGGAACCAGGACUUUUACUUUGAAAAAAUUAGAGUGUUCAAAGCAGGCUCGACGCCGGAAUAUAUUAGCAUGGGAUAAUAAAAUAGGACGUGCGGUUCUAUUUUGUUGGUUUUUGGAAUCGCCGUAAUGAUUAAUAGGGACAGUCGGGGGCAUUAGUACUCACAUGCUAGAGGUGAAAUUCUUGGAUUUUGUGAAGACUAACUUCUGCGAAAGCAUUUGCCAAGGAUGUUUUCAUUAA
rnacentral:rRNA from 1 species